rnacentral:tRNA from 1 species
UCCUCAGUAGCUCAGCGGUAGAGCGGUCGGCUGUUAACCGACCGGUCGUAGGUUCGAAUCCUACCCGAGGAG